UGCUAACAGCCAGAGGGAUAGGAGUUUGUGGAGCUAGGAUUCAGAAAUUCAAGAACAGCUUCACAAACGUGGAGAAAAAAGCUUGACGAAUAUGGAGAAAAUCAGUGGCAUAGAGAAAACAACUGUGACCACCUGAAACCUGAGAUCCUGCUCUUGCCUUUGUUUCAAGGUAAUUUGCAUCAUCACAGAUCCUCACAGAAGGUGAGAGGCUUCAUACCAGCUAUGAACUGACUGCCCAGAGGAGUUUUCCAUCUAUUGACUCCUCUGUGAAAUCCUAUGAAAUAUAAACCAGCAUUUCUACCCAGGAGAACUUUUACAAUCUUUUCUCCAA